rnacentral:rRNA from 1 species
UAAUACGUAGGGCGCAAGCGUUAUCCGGAAUUAUUGGGCGUAAAGAGCUCGUAGGCGGUUUGUCGCGUCUGCCGUGAAAGUCCGGGGCUCAACUCCGGAUCUGCGGUGGGUACGGGCAGACUAGAGUGAUGUAGGGGAGACUGGAAUUCCUGGUGUAGCGGUGAAAUGCGCAGAUAUCAGGAGGAACACCGAUGGCGAAGGCAGGUCUCUGGGCAUUAACUGACGCUGAGGAGCGAAAGCAUGGGGAGCGAACAGGAUUAGAUACCCCGGUAGUCCAUGCCGUAAACGUUGGGCACUAGGUGUGGGGGACAUUCCACGUUUUCCGCGCCGUAGCUAACGCAUUAAGUGCCCCGCCUGGGGAGUACGGCCGCAAGGCU